rnacentral:rRNA from 1 species
UGGUUAAAAAGCUCGUAGUUGGAUCUCGGCGGACUGAGGGCGGUUUGCUUGCUAGUAUUACUGCCCUAUAGUCCGUAGUUUUGCCAGAGGUUUCGGGGUGCUCUUAAUCGAGUGUCCCGGGAUGCUGGCAGGUUUACUUUGAAAAAAUUAGAGUGCUCAAAGCAGGCUAUUACGCCUGAAUAUUCGUGCAUGGAAUAAUAGAAUAGGAAGUCGUUUCUAUUUUGUUGGUUUUCGGAAAUCGACUUAAUGACUAAUAGGGACAGUCGGGGGCAUUUGUAUUCAAACGACAGAGGUGAAAUUCUUGGACCGUUUGAAGACAAACUACUGCGAAAGCAUUUGCCAAGAAUGUUUUCAUUAAUCAAGAACGAAAGUUAAAGGUUCGAAGGUGAUUAGAUACCGCCCUAGUUUUAACCAUAAACGAUGCCAGCUAGCGAUCUGCGGACGUUUUUUUUGUAGACUCCGCAGGAAGCUUCCGGGAAACCAAAGCAUUUGGGUUCCAGGGGAAGUAUGGUUGCAAAGCUGAAAACUUAAAGGAAUUGACGGAAGGGCACCACCAGGAGUGGAGCCUGUGGCUUAAUUUGACUCAACACCGGAAAUCUCACCA